ACCGGUGAUCCAGCCAGCGAUCCUCGAGAGGAAGGGAUUAACCCUUCUUGACGAGACCAGUGAGUUAACCCUGCCCGGUUAACCAUUGUUUCAUCACACGGUUUCCUGUUGGUAAGGAGGGAGGGGCCAAAAUAAGGGAAUUGGGGGAUUUAAAUCUUCUUGAGGGGAGGUUGGAGAUAGAAGCACUUAAGUAUGUUGAAGGUUUAAGUGAGGCCAAUAGUGCCAAUCUCAUAUGCAAAAAAAAAUCUAUCGAUUUUGUUGUUAGACUGGUUAGACAGUAGUAUCUUCAACAUAGAAGAAAGUACACCAGAAAUGUUUCCAUACAUGGAAGAGGUUCUUGAGGGAUUAGAGCCAAAUCCAUCUUUAGAGAUAUUGAAAAUGCGUAAUUACAUGGGAAAGACCAUUUCUCCAAGUUGGAUGGAAAAUUUAAGGAAUUUGGUUGAAAUUGUUUUCUAUGGGUGUAAGAACUGUGAGCAUAUUCCACCACUUGGGAGACUCCCCAGUCUUAGGGUUCUUGAGUUGUGGCACAUGGAUUCUUUGAAGUAUUUUCUGAUGAUGAUAUAAACAUGUCAAUAGAUAACACCGAUAGGUUUAUUUGUUUACAAAGAUUACAUAUCAGCUGGUGUAGGGAAUUAAUUGCCUUACCAGAUAAUCUUCCAAAUCUGAAGGAUUUAAAAUUAGAAAGGUGUGAGAAAUUAAUUUCUUUACCGCGUAAUCUUCCAAGCAUCAGAAGAAAUAUGAAAUUUCAAGAUUGUGAUGGAUUACUUUCUCUACCGGAUGAGAUUCAGAGUUUCAAGGAUCUAAACAAACUUGCGAUAAGAAGCUGUAAACAUCUAAAUAAAAAGGUAUAACAAAAACAUGGGUGAAGAUUGGCAUAAAGUUUCUCACAUUCCCGAUCUAAGUAUUAAUGCUCCAUCCUUUUGGUGGUGAAGAGAUUGACAAAUGAUGGCUGGUGACUUAACUUUGGCACUCUAAACACAAGGUGUCAUGAAAUCCAAGUGUGGUUCAAGAUUUGUAAAAGAGGGAGAUGUGCGAUGUUUUACUGCUUAUUAUGUUCAUUUUUAGGCUUUUUGCGUCAUGGGAUUUCAUGUAGUUGUGUAAACGAAUCGACUAUUGAACCAUUUAGACAAUAAUUUGGAUAUCGUUGUUUAUUUUUGUAAUAUUGGAUAGUAUUUAAUUGUGUUAUGAAAUGUUGACUUUAAA